rnacentral:rRNA from 1 species
UACAGAGGUCCCAAGCGUUGUUCGGAUUCACUGGGCGUAAAGGGUGCGUAGGUGGCUUGGUAAGUUCGAUGUGAAAUCUCCGGGCUUAACCCGGAAAUGGCAUUGAAUACUAUUGAGCUGGAGGUUUGGAGGGGGGACUGGAAUUCUCGGUGUAGCAGUGAAAUGCGUAGAUAUCGAGAGGAACACCAGUGGCGAAGGCGAGUCCCUGGACAACACCUGACACUGGAGGCACGAAAGCUAGGGGAGCAAACAGG